ACUCUUUCCUCCCCCCCUAAACAUGCUAGUCGAGCGGUAGAGAGGUGCUUGCACCUCUUGAGAGCGGCGGACGGGUGAGUAAUACCUAGGAAUCUGCCUGGUAGUGGGGGAUAACGUUCGGAAACGGACGCUAAUACCGCAUACGUCCUACGGGAGAAAGCAGGGGACCUUCGGGCCUUGCGCUAUCAUAUGAGCCUAUGUCGGAUUAGCUAGUUGGUGAGGUAAUGGCUCACCAAGGCUACGAUCCGUAACUGGUCUGAGAGGAUGAUCAGUCACACUGGAACUGAGACACGGUCCACACUCCUACGGGAGGCAGCAGUGGGGAAUAUUGGACAAUGGGCGAAAGCCUGAUCCAGCCAUGCCGCGUGUGUGAAGAAGGUCUUCGGAUUGUAAAGCACUUUAAGUUGGGAGGAAGGGCAUUAACCUAAUACGUUAGUGCUUUGACGUUACCGACAGAAUAAGCACCGGCUAACUCUGUGCCAGCAGCCGCGGUAAUACAGAGGGUGCAAGCGUUAAUCGGAAUUACUGGGCGUAAAGCGCGCGUAGGUGGUUUGUUAAGUUGAAUGUGAAAUCCCCGGGCUCAACCUGGGAACUGCAUCCAAAACUGGCAAGCUAGAGUAUGGUAGAGGGUGGUGGAAUUUCCUGUGUAGCGGUGAAAUGCGUAGAUAUAGGAAGGAACACCAGUGGCGAAGGCGACCACCUGGACUGAUACUGACACUGAGGUGCGAAAGCGUGGGGAGCAAACAGGAUUAGAUACCCUGGUAGUCCACGCCGUAAACGAUGUCAACUAGCCGUUGGGAGUCUUGAACUCUUAGUGGCGCAGCUAACGCAUUAAGUUGACCGCCUGGGGAGUACGGCCGCAAGGUUAAAACUCAAAUGAAUUGACGGGGGCCCGCACAAGCGGUGGAGCAUGUGGUUUAAUUUCGAAGCAACGCGAAAACCUUACUAAGGUCUUGACAUCCAAUGAACUUUCUAGAGAUAGAUUGGUGGCCUUCGUGACAUUGAGACAGGUGCUGCAUGGCUGUCGACAGCUCGUGUCGUGAGAUGUUGGGUUAAGUUCCCGAACGAGCGGCAACUCUU
rnacentral:rRNA from 1 species